GACGAACGCUGGCGGCGUGCUUAACACAUGCAAGUCGAGCGGAAAGGCCCUUCGGGGUACUCGAGCGGCGAACGGGUGAGUAACACGUGAGUAACCUGCCCCAGACUUUGGGAUAACCCUCGGAAACGGGGGCUAAUACCGGAUACGACACAGCUUCGCAUGGGGUCUGUGUGGAAAGUUUUUCGGUUUGGGAUGGGCUCGCGGCCUAUCAGCUUGUUGGUGGGGUGAUGGCCUACCAAGGCGACGACGGGUAGCCGGCCUGAGAGGGCGACCGGCCACACUGGGACUGAGACACGGCCCAGACUCCUACGGGAGGCAGCAGUGGGGAAUAUUGCACAAUGGGCUGAAGCCUGAUGCAGCGACGCCGCGUGAGGGAUGACGGCCUUCGGGUUGUAAACCUCUUUCAGCAGGGACGAAGCGUAAGUGACGGUACCUGCAGAAGAAGCUCCGGCCAACUACGUG
rnacentral:rRNA from 1 species